ACACAAUCUUAAAGUGUUUCCAUCUUAGAAAAAUCUUUUCAAGUAUUUCUUUUGUGUUUUUUUAACCUAUAAAAAAGAGAUGAUGGAAUAUAUUUUAUAAACUGAAUUUUAUCUUACUCCUUUUCACUCUCCCAACUGCAAUUUAAUAGUUGUCAGAUUUCCCUGAGCAUUGGAUUUAAGUAUAUAGGACCCAGAUAUUCCUCAGUAAAUUAGUUUGCUAACUACUUUGUCACUUUUGUGACUUCACAUUUGAGAAAUAGGUUAAUACAGAAAUCUACCU
rnacentral:lncRNA from 1 species